GACGAACGCUGGCGGCGUGCCUAACACAUGCAAGUCGAGCGAGGAACUUCGGUUCCUAGCGGCGGACGGGUGAGUAACACGUGGGCAACCUGCCUCAUAGAGGGGGAUAGCCUCCCGAAAGGGAGAUUAAUACCGCAUAACACUGCGGAUUCGCAUGAAACUGCAGUUAAAGGAGCAAUCCGCUAUGAGAUGGGCCCGCGGCGCAUUAGCUAGUUGGUGAGGUAACGGCUCACCAAGGCGACGAUGCGUAGCCGACCUGAGAGGGUGAUCGGCCACAUUGGAACUGAGACACGGUCCAGACUCCUACGGGAGGCAGCAGUGGGGAAUAUUGCACAAUGGGCGAAAGCCUGAUGCAGCAACGCCGCGUGGAGGAAGAAGGCCUUCGGGUUGUAAACUCUUGUCUUCUGGGACGAUAAUGACGGUACCAGAGGAGGAAGCCACGGCUAACUACGUG
rnacentral:rRNA from 1 species